UGAAUAUGGGAGUUGCAUAGUUCAGCAGAUUGAGUCAUAAAGAGAUUUGUUACCUAUCUGAUGUAAAA